UGGGGAAUAUUGCACAAUGGGCGAAAGCCUGAUGCAGCAACGCCGCGUGAGGGAUGAAGGCCUUCGGGUUGUAAAGCUCUGUCUUCUGGGACGAUAAUGACGGUACCAGAGGAGGAAGCCACGGCUAACUACGUGCCAGCAGCCGCGGUAAUACGUAGGGGGCAAGCGUUGUCCGGAUUUACUGGGCGUAAAGGAUGCGUAGGCGGAUACUUAAGUCAGAUGUGAAAAUCCCGGGCUUAACUUGGGAACUGCAUUUGAAACUGGGUAUCUAGAGUGCGGGAGAGGAAAGUGGAAUUCCUAGUGUAGCGGUGAAAUGCGUAGAGAUUAGGAAGAACACCAGUGGCGAAGGCGACUUUCUGGACCGUAACUGACGCUGAGGCAUGAAAGCGUGGGGAGCAAACA
rnacentral:rRNA from 1 species